rnacentral:rRNA from 1 species
GGGUAACCUGCCCUAUGCUGGAUAAUAACCUCGGGAAACUGAGAAUAAUGAUCCAUAGUUCACUACGCCUGGAACGGUGAGUGGAUGAAAGCUCCGGCGGCAUAGGAUGGGCCUGCGGCGUAUCAGGUUGUAGGGGGUGUAACGUACCCUCUAGCCCUCUACGCGUACGGGUGUUGGGAGACAUAGCCCGGAGAUGGAUUCUGAGACACGAAUCCAGACCCUACGGGGUGCAGCAGGCGCGAAAACUUGGCAAUGCGAGAAAUCGUGACCAGGGAACUCCAAGUGCAUCGGGUAAGACCGGUGCUUUUCUUGACUCUAAAUAGGUCUUGGAAUAAGGGGUGGGUAAGGACGGUGCCCGCCGCCGCGGUAAUACCGGCGCCUCAAGUGGUAGUCGCUUUUAUUGGGCCUAAAACGUCCGUAGCCGGUCUGAUACAUUCGUGGGUAAAUCAACCAGCUCAACUGGUUGAAUUCUGCGAGGACGGUCAGACUUGGGACCGGGAGAGGUGUGGGGUACGCUCAGGGUAGGGGUAAAAUCCUGUCAUCCUGAGCGGACCACCUGUUGCGAAGGCGCCACACUAGAACGGAUCCGACGGUCAGGGACGAAGCCUAGGGGCACGAACCGGAUUAGAUACCCGGGUAGUCCUAGGUGUAAACGCUGUGGACUUGAUGUUGGGGGUGCUCCGAGCACUCUCAGUGUCCAAGCGAAGGUGAUAAGUCCACUGCCUGGGAAGUACGGUCCCAAGGCUGAAACUU